UGGGGAAUUUUGGACAAUGGGCGCAAGCCUGAUCCAGCAAUGCCGCGUGCAGGAUGAAGGCCUUCGGGUUGUAAACUGCUUUUGUACGGAGCGAAAAGGUCUGCCCUAAUACGGUGGGCUCAUGACGGUACCGUAAGAAUAAGCACCGGCUAACUACGUGCCAGCAGCCGCGGUAAUACGUAGGGUGCGAGCGUUAAUCGGAAUUACUGGGCGUAAAGCGUGCGCAGGCGGUUGUGUAAGACAGGUGUGAAAUCCCCGGGCUUAACCUGGGAACUGCGCUUGUGACUGCACGGCUAGAGUAUGGCAGAGGGGGGUGGAAUUCCACGUGUAGCAGUGAAAUGCGUAGAUAUGCGGAGGAACACCGAUGGCGAAGGCAAUCCCCUGGGCCUGUACUGACGCUCAUGCACGAAAGCGUGGGGAGCAAACA
rnacentral:rRNA from 1 species